GGAGAGGUGCCUGAGUGGCUGAAAGGAGCCGCCUGCUAAGCGGUUGAGGGACUAAAAUCCCUCCGAGGGUUCGAAUCCCUCCCUCUCCG
rnacentral:tRNA from 1 species